rnacentral:rRNA from 1 species
CCCUUAGAUGUUCUGGGCCGCACGCGCGCUACACUGACGAAUGCAACGAGCUUAUAACCUUGGCCGAAAGGUCUGGGUAAUCUCCAAAUUUCGUCGUGAUGGGGAUAGAUUAUUGCAAUUAUUAAUCUUCAACGAGGAAUGCCUAGUAAGCGCAAGUCAUCAGCUUGCGUUGAUUACGUCCCUGCCCUUUGUACACACCGCCCGUCGCACCUACCGAUUGAAUGGUCCGGUGAAAUCCUCGGAUCGAGCCGUGGGGCAACUCCGGUUCGAGAAGUUGAUUAAACCUUACCAUUUAGAGGAAGGUGAANUCGUAACA